rnacentral:ncRNA from 2 species
UUCUUAUCAAGAGAAGCUGAGGGACUGGCCCGAAGAAGCUUCAGCAACCGGUGUAAUGAUUGCAUCCGCAGUCAUGACCAAGGUGCUAAAUCCAGCAAGCUUGAACAGCUUGGAAGAUAAGAA